GGCCCAGGGCCCACCACAACCCAUCCCUCAAAGUCUCCUUGGCGGAGGAGAAACAUUCCUCCUCCCUGCCCCCUGCGUCCCUCCGCAGCCCUGUCGCAGCCCCUAUCCUGUGUGAUGUGCGUGUCCCUGCGUUCUAGGUGGUUCUUUCAGCAACAGUUUGGGGGUUUUCAUGAGGAACAGGACCAGCUUUCAGGAUGCCUGGAGGUCUGCCCAGCUCUUCUCCCAUGGCUUCUCCUGGACGAGCCUACUUUUCUGAUAGUCCAAAGGCACAUAGUUGGUGUCUUGAAUUCUCAUUUACAAGAGAGGAGUGGUCACAGAAGACUUCACAGGAGAGGCCACAUGGUCCAGGGAGAGGACAUGCGUUUGGAGACCAGCCAGCCUAGGUUGCAACCCAUUUACUACUUGAGUGGCUUCAACUUGGGACAAGUUGUUCAAUUUUGAGUUGCUGUCUCAUGAUCAUAAGGAUAAUAAUAUUCACCUUCAAAAGUGGAUGUGAGGGCUAGAG